CCUACGGGUGGCAGCAGUGAGGAAUAUUGGUCAAUGGACGCGAGCCUGAACCAGCCAAGUAGCGUGAAGGAUGACUGCCCUACGGGUUGUAAACUUCUUUUAUAAAGGAAUAAAAUGUGCCACGUGUGCGUUUUUGUAUGUACUUUAUGAAUAAGGAUCGGCUAACUCCGUGCCAGCAGCCGCGGUAAUACGGAGGAUCCGAGCGUUAUCCGGAUUUAUUGGGUUUAACGGGAGCGUAGAUGGGUUGUUAAGUCAGUUGUGAAAGUUUGCGGCUCAACCGUAAAAUUGCAAUUGAUACUGGCAGCCUUGAGUACAGUUGAGGUAGGCGGAAUUCGUGGUGUAGCGGUGAAAUGCUGAGAUAUCACGAAGAACUCCGAUUGCGAAGGCAGCCCACUAAACUGCCACUGACACUGAUGCUCGAAAGUGUGGGUAUCAAACAGGAUUAGAGACCCGUGUAGUC
rnacentral:rRNA from 1 species